UGAAAUAAUGAAAUCCUAUUGGUUGGUGAACCUAGAGGUUCACCUUAGGGGGUGAACCCAAGAAUUACUCUUUUCAAAAUGGUUUAUAAUGAGGCUCUAGUUAAUAUCUUUUUAAAAGUUUGUUAGUAUACACUUUAAAAACAAUUAUUCAUCAUCAAUAGUUCCUUUUUGAUGAAAUCUACAAUGAUUUUAAAAAAAAUCAUACAGAAUACCAAUUUUUCUUUUAAAAUAAGCUUUUGAGAAGCUAACUACGUAUAACGAUUUUUUUAUCUCGAUUCUUCUUUAACGAGUCUUGAUCUGUGAGGACUGAUGUCUUGUCGGACGUGACGAGGUUUUCCUUGUCUCUUGCUUCAUUGAUUUUUGUGCAUAUAUGACGGAUUCGUCGAAGUUCGUGUGGUUUUACGAUAGCGCUUGAUGCUCGAGGAAUGUGGUGAGGCUUCCGAAGACUCUGCAAGUCAGUCAUCAGAAUUAGGGGCUGAAUUAAGGGCUCGUACCGACAGUUAUGGAUGUUUCCAUGAUGAGAGAUCUCUCUUGAGGAUGACGAUUCCCCGAUUUUGUUCUUCCUCUUCGAUUCAGAGUUAAUAUGGAGAUGUGCAUGACUCCAUGACCUGAGAUACGACGAGAUGGUUGUGUUCUGAAGAAUUAAAGUUUGAGAGUCGGUCUAACUUUGGAACCUGCGUUUUGAGAUCGUGGAACUUCUCCAUGUGACUCUAUUUCCUUCUUAGAUUUGUUUCACAUGUUUUGUCACAAUCUCUUUGUUUUCGUGUUUUUUCAUUGUUUCGCCGUUGAAUCGGAUUUCUUGUACUAUUCAGAUCUCUUUUUAUGGUUGAUAUUAAUGAAAUUAUAAUUAUUAAUAAUAAUAACAAUUGUAAUAAUUAUGUAAUUAGAUAUUAACAUUUUCUAUU